rnacentral:tRNA from 1 species
ACCUAAAUAGCUUAAAAGUAAAGCACUCUGAAAAGAGAGAUUUGGGUGCAAUUUCCAUUCUGGGUU